GAUGAACGCUGGCGGCGUGCCUAAUACAUGCAAGUCGAGCGAACGGACGAGAAGCUUGCUUCUCUGAUGUUAGCGGCGGACGGGUGAGUAACACGUGGAUAACCUACCUAUAAGACUGGGAUAACUUCGGGAAACCGGAGCUAAUACCGGAUAAUAUUUUGAACCGCAUGGUUCAAUAGUGAAAGACGGUCUUGCUGUCACUUAUAGAUGGAUCCGCGCUGCAUUAGCUAGUUGGUAAGGUAACGGCUUACCAAGGCAACGAUGCAUAGCCGACCUGAGAGGGUGAUCCGCCACACUGGAACUGAGACACGGUCCAGACUCCUACGGGAGGCAGCAGUAGGGAAUCUUCCGCAAUGGGCGAAAGCCUGACGGAGCAACGCCGCGUGAGUGAUGAAGGUCUUCGGAUCGUAAAACUCUGUUAUUGGGGAAGAACAAAUGUGUAAGUAACUGUGCACAUCUUGACGGUACCUAAUCAGAAAGCCACGGCUAACUACGUG
rnacentral:rRNA from 1 species